UCGUCAAUCCGCUGAUGAAGAAGAUGUACGGCGUCGAUUCGAUGCCGGAAACCGGCGAGAACGUGGCGACGGAUUAUCAGAUCUCACGCGCGGAUCAGGACGCCUUCGCGAUCCGCUCGCAGCAGCGCGCAGNNNAGGCGAUUGCCGCGGGUUACUUCGCUGAAGAAAUCACGCCGGUUACCGCUCCGGGCGGCAAGGCCGGGCCUGUGAUCGUGGACAAGGAUGAGCACCCGCGCCCGGAAACCACGCUUGAGCAGCUUGCG
rnacentral:misc_RNA from 1 species